rnacentral:SRP_RNA from 1 species
CUCCGGGCUCCGUGCAACCGGGCGCCGCAAACCCCGCCAGGUCCGGAAGGAAGCAACGGUAGCAGCCCACCCGGUGUGCCGCGGAUCACCCGGGGUCU